GGUAGUGGAGUUGCUUCAAAAUAUUUAAUACGUGUUAGACACGUAAAGUUACAUUUUUAUACAAAAAUCAAUACAGAGGAGGAGAAAAUACUGUACAAAAACCUUAUCAGCUCCCCCAACCUUUAUACAACAAAGACUGGAGUCACCGUAUCUACAAAACCAUAAGGUCCUUCCACUUAGAGCUCGUCUGUAAACUUUGUUUCAUUAAACACUUUUUAAAAGCACUGUGUAGUAAGUUCUGAGCUAGAGCUUUUAAAAAUAUAUCUUUUUCUCUAUAAACUCCAUAUUUCCAAGCUUGAACUCUUCUGUGAAGUUCAGCAAGCUUUUUUUCCCCUGUGGGGAAUUGAAGGUCCCUUAAUGUUCUGCUUUCCCAGAGUAAUCACAGGGUAGAAGCGCUUCUUCUGUGCCAGAGAAAGAUGGGGAGGAAGAAAAAUAAUACAAGUCUCUACUCCAGACGAACUCCCUCUAGUCUGGGGAAAUCCUGUGAGAAAACGCCACUCCGCGCCCCGGUGUGGUCCUAGCUUUCAGGAGAGAGGUUGUGUGUAAAGUCCCUCUCUUCCCCAAGAUCGAUCGGGGAACUCCCCUGUCUCGAACCUUUCAGCAGCUUCCUUUUCUGUGCUGCUGGCAGAGGAAAGUCCCUGUUUGCACCCCCAAAGUCUCGAGAACGGGGAAGGGGUGGUGCAUUCCAGAACCACAGAAUCGUCUCAACACAAGACAAACUUACACAUGGACACACACUGAUACAA
rnacentral:lncRNA from 1 species